rnacentral:rRNA from 1 species
CAGGCCUAACACAUGCAAGUCGAACGAUCCGGUGCUUAUUUGUUUACAAAUGAGUUUCGGAUAGUGGCGUAAGGGUUAGUAAUGGAUAGGUGAAUGUGCCCUUGGCUUCGGAAUAGCGUCUCGAAAGGGACGGUAAUACCGGAUAAUAUCACUUGUCGAUGGACAAGUGAUCAAAGAUUUAUCGGCAAAGGAGCGGCCUAUCUCCUAUCAGCUUGUUGGUGAGGUAACGGCUCGCCAAGGCUAAGACGGGUAGCGGGACUGGGAGGUUGACCCGCAACAUCGGGACUGAGACACCGCCCGGACCUCCACGGAGGGCUGCAGUAACGAAUCUUGCGCAAUGGGCGAAAGCCUGACGCAGCGACGCCGCGUGUAGGAGGAAGUCCCUCGGGAUGUAAACUACUGUCAGGGGGAAGAAAGUCCGUUUCGGCGGAUUGAUCUAACCCAAAGGAAGUCACGGCUAACUUCGUGCCAGCAGCCGCGGUAAU